GACGAACGCUGGCGGCGUGCCUAAUACAUGCAAGUCGAGCGAGCUUGCCUAGAUGAUUUUAGUGCUUGCACUAAAUGAAACUAGAUACAAGCGAGCGGCGGACGGGUGAGUAACACGUGGGUAACCUGCCCAAGAGACUGGGAUAACACCUGGAAACAGAUGCUAAUACCGGCUAACAACACUAGACGCAUGUCUAGAGUUUGAAAGAUGGUUCUGCUAUCACUCUUGGAUGGACCUGCGGUGCAUUAGCUAGUUGGUAAGGUAACGGCUUACCAAGGCAAUGAUGCAUAGCCGAGUUGAGAGACUGAUCGGCCACAUUGGGACUGAGACACGGCCCAAACUCCUACGGGAGGCAGCAGUAGGGAAUCUUCCACAAUGGGCGAAAGUCUGAUGGAGCAACGCCGCGUGAGUGAAGAAGGGUUUCGGCUCGUAAAGCUCUGUUGGUAGUGAAGAAAGAUAGAGGUAGUAACUGGCCUUUAUUUGACGGUAAUUACUUAGAAAGUCACGGCUAACUACGUG
rnacentral:rRNA from 1 species